rnacentral:rRNA from 1 species
UACGAAGGGUGCAAGCGUUAAUCGGAAUUACUGGGCGUAAAGCGUGCGUAGGCGGUUUGUUAAGUCUGUUGUGAAAUCCCCGGGCUCAACCUGGGAAUGGCAAUGGAUACUGGCAGGCUAGAGUGUGUCAGAGGAUGGUGGAAUUCCCGGUGUAGCGGUGAAAUGCGUAGAGAUCGGGAGGAACACCAGUGGCGAAGGCGGCCUUCUGGACCAAUACUGACGCUCAUGCACGAAAGCGUGGGGAGCAAACAGG